UACGUAGGGUGCAAGCGUUGUCCGGAAUUAUUGGGCGUAAAGAGCUCGUAGGCGGUUUGUUGCGUCGGCUGUGAAAUCCCGAGGCUCAACCUCGGGUCUGCAGUCGAUACGAGCAAACUAGAGUGUUGCAGGGGAGAGUGGAAUUCCUGGUGUAGCGGUGAAAUGCGCAGAUAUCAGGAAGAACACCCGUGGCGAAGGCGGUUCUCUGGGACGGUACUGACGCUGAGACGCGAAAGCGUGGGGAGCGAACAGG
rnacentral:rRNA from 1 species